rnacentral:lncRNA from 1 species
CUCCUUUUUCUGUUUUCGCAUCAAUUCCACUUGGGUGCGCAAAUCUUUUUCUAGUUGCAAGAUGGUCGUCUCUCCUUCUUCCUGAAUAAGACAACGUACCACUGUUAUAAGAUUCCAAGUGAAUUCCUUCAGAGGAAGAGAAGGACAACAUAAGAAGGCGUGGAUGACAGACUUUCAGUUAAACUAACAAAGAAAGAACACUGCAGCACCAUCUAUGCCUACCUUUUUCUCAGCGUUUAUAAAAAAAAAUUCAUAUUCCCUACAAAGCAAAACUAUGGUAUAACAGGACAACUAAGACUGCCCUGGCACCAGAGAAACUACAAUCUAGAUGUGCUCUGCUUCCAGUCGGCCGAGAAGCCUGCAGCAAAUCACCUAAACACUUAAGGUCUUUGUGUGCCAUCCACACCCAACUGCAACUAGAGACUUUCAUUAGCCCCUUUCUGUCUCAGAGCUUUCGGUGGUUCUACAAGUCACCAGCCUGGAUCUCUAACAAUGUGUCUCUCCAAAGCUGUUAAUACAUUCACAUCCAAAAUAUCUCCAGCCACGAAAUCCUAGUUUAGAGGUUGCCCGUCCUUGUUGAAGAAACAUUUCUACACAAAUACCUGUUGCCUAUACCAGAUGGCCAUACCAAUACCCAAAUACUGACAAACGUUUAAAAGAAUUUACGGUACUCCCUUCACUUUAGAAAUGUUAACAGUUCAAGUCCAACAGAACUUAAAGGAAAAAAAGAGAAAUGUUAACAGUAAGUAAGGCAUUUAUUUAACAUAAUCUCAACUAAAGUCCAACUAAAGAGCUUCCCCAGGCAAACACUCCUUUUGCACUUCAUUUUGAAGACAAAAGAAUGCACAAGUUAAAAUCCUAAUAUUACCAUUUUAUUAAAAAUAACUUUUAAGAUCCAAUCUGUGGCCAAUAUUCGAUCUGGAUGCAAAACCCUGGCUUCCAGACAGGCCAGCCAGGGGCACUGCUCUGAAGGUCAUUACUUAAGUAUCCCAGUCUCCUCAGUCUGACAGACCUACCCCUGCCCAGCCAAUCUCCACAUAACAGCUAGUUGUUCAUAAUAAAUCCCAUCAGAUCCCCGCUUAACUACUCCCCUUCAAAGGCUCCACUGCCCUCAGGAAAUAGUUCAACCACCUUCUGUAGAAAGGCCUUCUAAAACCUCUCUCCGAGUCUGUCUGCUAAUCUCUCCCACUUGACACUCCCCAGGUCUCUGGCCAGCUGAACUUCCCGGGCAUUUCCUGAACAAUGCCCCUCAAUAAACCACAUGCAACUCUCAU